AGUUCCGGUUUGCGUUACAAAAAUAAGAGCUUGCUAAAGCCAACUUCCUCCUCACGCUCAUCAUCGGCAGUGGCAACAAGAUGGCCACCAAUUCGCGUGUCGCGUGGACGCCACCUCGAGAUCACGGCAGUUCGCGGACGGAUGUCGUAUGCACACGAUGAAUAAUAAAUGCUGCAGGAUGGACUUUGAAAGAAAAUCGUGAAUUGGUGGGAUUUCUGUGAAUUCAGCGGCUUCUGUUCCGUGCAAAAGGGGGAAUUUUCAUCUGUCGAAUGUGCUCGUGUAAACGGUAACGACAAGCCAGGCGACCCAGCAUUUUUUGGCCUCCAAGCGAUGUAGAGUAAACCAAGCAGAACAACUACUUUUUCUUCCAUUCGAUGGCCGAAGUUACAAUGAGGCUCCGUGUCAACAUACAAAAGAUAAUAGGACUUAGAUGCAACCAACUUCCACGUUCGGCAAAACUGGCUGAAGGAUUUCCUUCCGGUUCUGGUUUGGUGACGGCAAAGUGGGAAAAGCACCUGUAAGAAAUGUUGAAUGGCUGCAGUGUGUUUAGUUUUACACAAGCGGUCUUCAAGAGCUACCCAACUUCAUGAUAUCCAUUGUUUAAGCUUCAUUUGUAUUUAUAAAUGAUAUUAUGUGUGUAUUUAGUUUUUGUCUGACUAUGCCAGAAAUAAAUACAAUUUUAGCAGCUUCAGGUUGAAGCCGUGUCAGCAGCCAGCCGCAGUUAUCCGAGUACACGCAGGAAAUCUGCAAACUUGUCUUCUGGGUUUGCUCAUGUGAUGUUUUGCAAACACUUGAAUAUCUUUGUAUUGAAUUCAUCAAUAAAUGGAGACAAGAUGAUUAUCAUUUCA